CAACUGCUGAAGAGUCUCAUACUAAGACGAAACAAUCGUCCAGUGC
rnacentral:hammerhead_ribozyme from 1 species